GACGAACCGUGCGAACGUUGUUCGGAAUUACUGGGCGUAAAGCGUGUGUAGGCGGCUUUGCAAGUCAGGUGUGAAAUCCCCGGGCUCAACCUGGGAAGUGCACUUGAAACUGCAGAGCUUGAGUAUCGGAGAGGUUGGUGGAAUUCUCGGUGGAGAGGUGAAAUUCGUAGAUAUCGAGGGGAACACCAGUGGCGAAGGCGGCCAACAUGGCGAAAUACUGACGCUGAGACACGAAAGCGUGGG
rnacentral:rRNA from 1 species